GACGAACGCUGGCGGCGUGCUUAACACAUGCAAGUCGAACGGAAAGGCCCUGCUUUUGUGGGGUGCUCGAGUGGCGAACGGGUGAGUAACACGUGAGUAACCUGCCCUUGACUUUGGGAUAACUUCAGGAAACUGGGGCUAAUACCGGAUAGGAGCUCCUGCUGCAUGGUGGGGGUUGGAAAGUUUCGGCGGUUGGGGAUGGACUCGCGGCUUAUCAGCUUGUUGGUGGGGUAGUGGCUUACCAAGGCUUUGACGGGUAGCCGGCCUGAGAGGGUGACCGGCCACAUUGGGACUGAGAUACGGCCCAGACUCCUACGGGAGGCAGCAGUGGGGAAUAUUGCACAAUGGGCGGAAGCCUGAUGCAGCAACGCCGCGUGCGGGAUGACGGCCUUCGGGUUGUAAACCGCUUUCGCCUGUGACGAAGCGUGAGUGACGGUAAUGGGUAAAGAAGCACCGGCUAACUACGUGCCAGCAGCCGCGGUGAUACGUAGGGUGCGAGCGUUGUCCGGAUUUAUUGGGCGUAAAGGGCUCGUAGGUGGUUGAUCGCGUCGGAAGUGUAAUCUUGGGGCUUAACCCUGAGCGUGCUUUCGAUACGGGUUGACUUGAGGAAGGUAGGGGAGAAUGGAAUUCCUGGUGGAGCGGUGGAAUGCGCAGAUAUCAGGAGGAACACCAGUGGCGAAGGCGGUUCUCUGGGCCUUUCCUGACGCUGAGGAGCGAAAGCGUGGGGAGCGAACAGGCUUAGAUACUCUGGUAGUCCACGCUGUAAACGGUGGGUACUAGGUGUGGGGUCCAUUCCACGGGUUCCGUGCCGUAGCUAACGCUUUAAGUACCCCGCCUGGGGAGUACGGCCGCAAGGCUAAAACUCAAAGGAAUUGACGGGGCCCCGCACAAGCGGCGGAGCAUGCGGAUUAAUUCGAUGCAACGCGUAGAACCUUACCUGGGUUUGACAUGGAUCGGGAGCGCUCAGAGAUGGGUGUGCCUCUUUUGGGGUCGGUUCACAGGUGGUGCAUGGCUGUCGUCAGCUCGUGUCGUGAGAUGUUGGGUUAAGUCCCGCAACGAGCGCAACCCUUGUUCACUGUUGCCAGCACGUUAUGGUGGGGACUCAGUGGAGACCGCCGGGGUCAACUCGGAGGAAGGUGGGGAUGACGUCAAGUCAUCAUGCCCCUUAUGCCCAGGGCUUCACGCAUGCUACAAUGGCUGGUACAGAGAGUGGCGAGCCUGUGAGGGUGAGCGAAUCUCGGAAAGCCGGUCUCAGUUCGGAUUGGGGUCUGCAACUCGACCUCAUGAAGUCGGAGUCGCUAGUAAUCGCAGAUCAGCAACGCUGCGGGGAAUACGUUCCCGGG
rnacentral:rRNA from 1 species